rnacentral:rRNA from 1 species
AAAGUUACAUCUAACUUGGGGUUUGUAUUUAAAUCAUUAUUAAAAGUAAAUUAAAAGUAUUCGUUUUAGAACCUAAUAUGAAGUGAUAGAGGAGAAGUAUCGUGAGAGAAUGAUGAAAGAAUUUUUUAAUUGCAAUAAAGAAAUUUUUUAACAAUGUACCUUGUGUAUCAGGGUUAAGCAAAAUAAACUUAUGAAUGAGUGAUCCCGAAAUAAAUGUAAGCUAAAUAAAAUUUAGAGUAAAUGUUGUAUAAUUUUUCUUAAGUUCUAUUUAGAGGUGAAAUGCCAAUCGAACUUUUAUAUCUGGUUUUCUGAGAAAUAAAUUAAAUUUAACCAAACAAAUUUUUAAUUAAAAAUAAAUUUAAUAAAAAAGUGUUUGAUAAAGUGUUAAAGGGAUGAGCUUUUAACACUUUUAGGAGGUUAGCACAAUCUAAAAUAAAAAUUAAAUAACGUAAAUAAAUUUAGUAGUGACUGAUUUUUAAAAUGUGUGUAAUAACUUACGUUUAACUUAAUAAAAUUUUUAUCGGAUUUGCUCUAUCUAUUAGAAAAAUUAAAAUAAUAAAGAUUUUAAUGUAAAUAUGCUUGAAUAAGUAGGAUUAGUUGUAACUAAAAUUAAAUUGAAUUACAAGGAUAAUUUUUAAAAAAUUUAACUACUAAAAAGGAACUCGGCAAAUUUAUUUCCGCCUGUUUAUCAAAAACAUCGUCUAUAGAAAAUUAUAGGUACUGCCUGCUCAAUGCUUUAAGUAAAUAGCCGCGGUAUUUUGACCGUGCAAAGGUAGCAUAAUCAUUAGUCUUUUAAUUGAAGGCUGGUAUGAACGGCAAGACGAGAAAUAGACUGUCUCUUAUGUAGCAUCUGAAUUUCAUUUUUAAGUGAAAAAGCUUAAAUAAAUUUAGAGGACGAUCAGACCCUAUAGAGCUUUAAUUAUAAAUAUUUUUAGAGGAAUUUAUUAAUUAGAAUUUAAUUUAUUUAUUUUUUUUGUUGGGGCGACAAGGAGUUUUAAGAAACACUCUUUUUAUAUAAACAUUUAUACGUGGACUGAAGAUCCUCUUAGGGAGAUUAAAAGACUAAGUUACCUUAGGGAUAACAGCGUAAUUUUUUUGGAGAGUUCUUAUCGAUAAAAAAGUUUGCGACCUCGAUGUUGGAUUAAGAAAUUAGCAAGAUGCAGAAGUCUUGCUGGAAAGUCUGUUCGACUUUUAAAUUCUUACAUGAUCUGAGUUCAAACCGGCGUAAGCCAGGUUGGUUUCUAUCCUUAAAUUUAAAACUAUUUUUUUAGUACGAAAGGAUCAAAAAGUAAAGAGAUUCUUAAAAAAAGGAAUAAAAAUAAAAUUAGUAAUAG